CAGAUAGUAGUUUAUAAAAUAUUGACUUUGGGUGUCAAAGAUCGAAUAACUUCGUUAUCUGA
rnacentral:tRNA from 1 species